CGACCGGCGCACGGGUGAGUAACGCGUAUCCAACCUGCCCACCACUUGGGGAUAACCUUGCGAAAGUAAGACUAAUACCCAAUGAUAUCUCUAGAAGACAUCUGAAAGAGAUUAAAGAUUUAUCGGUGAUGGAUGGGGAUGCGUCUGAUUAGCUUGUUGGCGGGGUAACGGCCCACCAAGGCAACGAUCAGUAGGGGUUCUGAGAGGAAGGUCCCCCACACUGGAACUGAGACACGGUCCAA
rnacentral:rRNA from 1 species